GUCCACGCCGUAACGAUGUCGACUAGCCGUUGGGCCCUUAUGGGCUUAGUGGCGCAGCUAACGCAUUAAGUCGACCGCCUGGGGAGUACGGCCGCAAGGUUAAACUCAAAUGAAUUGACGGGGCCCGCACAAGCGGUGGAGCAUGUGGUUUAAUUCGAUGCAACGCGAAGAACCUUACCUACCCUUGACAUCCUCAGAAUUUGGCAGAGAUGCCUUAGUGCCUUCGGGAACUGAGAGACAGGUGCUGCAUGGCUGUCGU
rnacentral:rRNA from 1 species